UAGACAUCAUGGUGAAAUGCUCAAGCGUCAGCGCUAGUUACUUAUGCACCACGGUUGUCUGGGUAUGUGCCAUGUUAUCCU
rnacentral:pre_miRNA from 14 species